GGCGUGACCUCCAUUAACAACGAACUGCCGUCUGCAUCUGUUUCAACCACAUAGCACAGGUCACCGGCAAGCAUUGUAUCCCGUUGUUCUGUUUCCACCGUCCUCUCGGAUCGCACAGUCCACCGCCCAAUAACACAGUCCACCGUCCACCACCGGCGCCCACCCUCUCUCUCUUCUCUUUCUUUCCUCGUUCCCCAUUUCUCCCUGCCGUGUUCGCUACCCCCAUGCCCCUGUUCGCGCCUGCCAGCUCCGGCGAGCAACACCCCAGUGCAACCCAGCAGCGGCUAAGUUCUAUGCCGCUGCGACACCAUCAUUGCCCCCGUUCUUCUUUCUCUCCUUCAUCAACGCAGGUACUGGUGUUGCUUGUGCAAUCUUUGCUUUCACUCUUGGAAAGGUCGUGGAAGUGACGGGUGUGAAUGAGCUAAAAACUGAUGAGACGGAACUUGGUCAUAUUGUAGAAUUGGAUUUAGUGUACCAUUCACUGAAUUCAAGUAUGCUUGGAGUUGUUGUAGUUAGAUAUAUAUAAGUGAUUAACUUAUAACAGAGUUAUGUGACAUUUAGAUUUGUAAAACAAGUACUAAAUUGUAUUUUUCUUUAGCUAUUUAAACUAAGUCAG